rnacentral:rRNA from 1 species
UACCAGCACCCCGAGUGGUCGGGACGUUUAUUGGGCCUAAAGCAUCCGUAGCCGGUUCUACAAGUCUUCCGUUAAAUCCAACUGCUUAACAGGUGGGCUGCGGAAGAUACUAUAGAGCUAGGAGGCGGGAGAGGCAAGCGGUACUCGAUGGGUAGGGGUAAAAUCCGUUGAUCCAUUGAAGACCACCAGUGGCGAAGGCGGCUUGCCAGAACGCGCUCGACGGUGAGGGAUGAAAGCUUGGGGGAGCAAACCGG